rnacentral:rRNA from 1 species
UACGUAGGAGGCAAGCGUUGUCCGGAGUUACUGGGCGUAAAGCGCACGCAGGCGGUCCAGUUAGUCUGUAGGGACAGGGCACAGCUUAACUGUGUCAGGCUUAUGGAAACUGUUGGACUUGAGGGCUUCAGAGGGAUGGGGAAUUCCGGGUGGAGUGGUGAAAUGCGUAGAGAUCCGGAAGAACACCAAAGGCGAAGGCACCAUCCUGGGGAGUCACUGACGCUCGGGUGCGAAAGCCAGGGGAGCGAACGGG